ACUUUUUUGUUAAAACUCAGACACAGAUACAUUAGCCUAAGCCUACACAGGGUCAGGAUCCUCAGUGUCACUAUCUUCCACUACCACAUCUUGUCCUGCUGGACUGUCUUCAGGGCAAUAACACGCAUGGAGCUGCCAUCUCCUAUGAUAAUAAAGACUUCUUGAAUACCUCCUGAAGGACCUAUCUAAGACUGUUUACAGUUAAAUUUUAUUUUUUAUAAGUAGUAGGCGUGUACACUGUAAAAUAACAAUAAGAAGUGUAGGAUAGUAAACACAUAAACCAGUAACAGUCAUUUAUUACCAUUAUCAAGUAUUACGUCCUGUACACAAUUGUAUGUGUUAUAUUUUAUAUGACUGGCAGCACUGUAGGUUUGCUUACACCAGCAUCACCACAUACGUGAGUCAUGCAUUUUGCUUUGACAUUACGAUGGCUAUGUAACUAGGUGACAGAAAUUUUUCAGCUCCAUUAUAACCUUAGGGCACCACCGUGGUAUCUGCGGUCCAUCUUGACCAAAACGUUGUUAUAUGGUACAUGACUGUAUUUCAAUCUCCAUCUGUCCCACUCCCCACCCUCUAAGUAACUCUAACCAUGGAAGGCCAGGAGGAAGAUCAGAGAGGGCCAGCCGGAGAAAUGACAGUUCAUGCCGAUCGCGUUGAUAACAUUUCCCAGAGAGGGAAAAUGUGGUGAAGAGACAAAGUAAGGAAACUAACAAAUAUUGAAUAUAUACUGGGCUGGACUCUGUACUUCAUAUUAGCCUCAGAAUUCCCAAAGGAGAUGCACCGUCGUCUACUGAUUUUACAUAUGCACAGAUUAAGAGCGCAGGUAGGGUAGGUCUUGAGACUGGGAAUCCAAAUUAGGUUUGCCAAGUUAUUUUCACAACACACGAUACCUCCCACUGGGGAGCACAUCCUCUAGGAAGCCUAAAGUUGGGUCAAAGAACAACGACAUCCCAGAACGUCAGAGUGGAAGAGGCCUUAGAGAUCACUCAACCCAACUUCUCGUUUACAGAUGGGGAAACUGAGGCCCAAAGAGGGGAAAUGACCAGCCCGGAAUCCCAGUACAUCGUCGCCAACUCUCCAAGCCAAGAGCGGUCUGACCGAGGAACAGAAGACAGCAAGAAAACCUCACUUCAACCCCCGCGGGAUUCCAUCUUCUACCUGAUCAAUCAGCAUUCCUCACUUGUCAAGCCACAAAAUUAUCUUUAAAAAUUAUCUUUUAUCACAAAAUUAUCACAAAAUUAUCUUUAAAACCUCCGAUCCCUGAAUGCUUGGGAAGCGUAUUCAACUGCCUCCUAGCCAUGUCCACCAGAAUGUUCCACAAGCCCUUCAAACUCAGUGUGUCCCAAACUGAAUUGAUCAUCUCCCUCCAAUCUGCUCUUGCUGCAUUCCCCAUUCCAGUAAAUGGCGCCAUCCCCCACCCAGUUGCCUCCGUCAAAAAGCAGGGAGUCGUCCUUCACCCUUCCCACUACCAUCACCCACUUCCAAUCACAAGCAUGCCAAUUUCAACUCCUCACUAUUUCCUGAUACAGCCUUUCUGGCCAUGUUCAUGGCACCCUCCAUGUGCACACCACCACAGUCCCAUCGACAUGAGUGCAGUCUCCUAGUGGGACUCCCUGAUUGCAGUCUUGCCCCUCUGUAAUUUAUCCUCUGUACCAUAGUCAACAUGGCCCUGCCAAAACCCAAAUCUCACCACUGCAUUCCUCUGUUUGAGUAAUUUGAGUAACAAUAAAACUCCCGUCUCCUGCA